UAGCCGUCGAAGGUGGGACGAAUGAUUGGGGUGAAGUCGUAACAAGGUAGCCGUAUCGGAAGGUGCGGCUGGAUCACCUCCUUUCUAAGGA
rnacentral:rRNA from 1 species